rnacentral:lncRNA from 1 species
CCCCGCUGACGUUAGCCAGACUUCUAAAACGCGCGGUUCCAACAAUUCUGCAAUAAUAUUUCGCCAAAUAAUCAUCCACAGAUUUCCUUUUCACAGCAAGAUCUUCAUGAGAGAAGAAGGUCGUCCAGCCGGAGGUGUGGGCUGCUUUGCUCCUCGGAAAGAAAGGAAAAAGGAGAAAAGGGCUUCGGAAAACGAGCUGCAAUGACCCACACGUGCAAGGUUUAGGGACGUAAUGAUUUGAAUGUCAAUUCUAAACUUUUAAGGCGGAUAGGAGGAGGAAAUGGAAGGAGAGGAAAUGCGUAAGAUGCGCGAUUGAAACAGACGUACAAAUGCAUAGAAGAAAAUCAAAGAAAAGAAAAUAUUUGUGCACGCACAUGGUAAUUAUUUCACUUUUUUGAGUGAGUGGUAGAAGUAAUUUUGCUGAAUUUAGUGGAAUUUUGACCAAUUGUACCAUGUGAUGUUUACAAUGGUGCAACAGUUGCUUAAGUUUUAGUAGUAGUAUUGGAAGUUGCUCUGCUCCAUGAAAGACCUUUGCUGAUAAGUUAAACUUCAGAAUUGGAAGUAAGAAGCUUAUUUUUAUCAUAUUGUUAGUUUGAGAGAUAUCUUUAUAUUUCUGUGAUCCAACACUGAUGCAUGUAAAUCUGGGAAGGUUGAUCAAACUAAUUAGAGUUUAUGAUUAAUCUCUCUACCACCACCAUGGUGUGCCAGUGGGCAAAUUGUCACACACAAAGUUCCAUGCACAUUGCUGUUACAAAGCAUGCACAAACCUGCCAUUUCUGCCUGCAUACUGGUAACCUACAGCCUUGCUUUAUUAGUGUGUGUUGAAGGUUUGGCUGUUGAAUAAAACUUUCUUCAAAUGUCAUACUUGAUAGAUGAGGCACAUAUUAGAUAUUACAUAGAUGAUGCACAUAUUAGAUAUUACGUUAUGU